UCUUUUCUAUAUCAACAUGAUUUUAAAAUACAAGAAAAAACUUUAAAUAUUAUUUCUGUAAUUUCGUGUUUUUUUUUAUUUUAGUAUUCUGUAGUUUAAAAUGUAUCACUUUAGUAUUAUGUAAUUUUUUUUUUCUUUUUCUUAUAUGCUUUGUUAAUUUUUUUUUAUUAAAUCAGUGACAAAAUUAAACCAUACAGUAGUAAAGUGAAAAUUUGAUAAAUCAAAGAAUACUAAAAUAAAUAUCGAUAAACUAUAAGUGGGAUAUCUAAAAUUUUCUGUAUAUAAUUUAACAAAUAGUUAACAAAAGUGCUGAUGGGAAGAGAAAAAUAAAAUUACGAGGUACUAGGGUACUAAAGUGAGAAAAUACGAAACCACAGAAUUAGUAUUUAAAGUUUAUCCAAAAUAUAAAUAGAAUAAAUAUUUAUUAAGA
rnacentral:lncRNA from 1 species